UACGAAGGGGGCUAGCGUUGCUCGGAAUUACUGGGCGUAAAGGGCGCGUAGGCGGCUAGUUUAGUCAGAGGUAAAAGCCCAGGGCUCAACCUUGGAACUGCCUUUGAUACUGGCUAUCUUGAGUUCGGGAGAGGUGAGUGGAAUGCCGAGUGUAGAGGUGAAAUUCGUAGAUAUUCGGCGGAACACCAGUGGCGAAGGCGACUCACUGGCCCGAUACUGACGCUGAGGCGCGAAAGCGUGGGGAGCAAACAGG
rnacentral:rRNA from 1 species